rnacentral:rRNA from 1 species
UGACCUCGGAUCAGGUAGGGAUACCCGCUGAACUUAAGCAUAUCAAUAAGCGGAGGAAAAGAAACCAACAGGGAUUGCCCUAGUAACGGCGAGUGAAGCGGCAACAGCUCAAAUUUGAAAGCUGGCCUUCGGGUCCGCAUUGUAAUUUGUAGAGGAUGCUUUGGGGAGGCCGCCUGUCUAAGUUCCUUGGAACAGGACGUCAUAGAGGGUGAGAAUCCCGUAUGUGACAGGAAAUGGCACCCUAUGUAAAGCUCCUUCGACGAGUCGAGUUGUUUGGGAAUGCAGCUCUAAAUGGGAGGUAAAUUUCUUCUAAAGCUAAAUAUUGGCGAGAGACCGAUAGCGCACAAGUAGAGUGAUCGAAAGAUGAAAAGCACUUUGGAAAGAGAGUUAAAAAGCACGUGAAAUUGUUGAAAGGGAAGCGCUUGCAAUCAGACUUGUCUAAACUGUUCGGCCGGUCUUCUGACCGGUUUACUCAGUUUGGACAGGCCAGCAUCAGUUUCGGCGGCCGGAUAAAGGCUCUGGGAAUGUGGCCCCCACUUCGGUGGGGGUGUUAUAGCCCAGUGUGUAAUACGGCCAGCCGGGACUGAGGUCCGCGCU